rfam:Methanomethylovorans hollandica DSM 15978, complete genome.
UAGUCCGAUUCCAAGAUACCAGACGGUCAGGCAGGUCACGAGAAGACCAUGACAACGUUGUUGCCAGCCCUGUCCGGUGCAAACACUCUGUAUGGUUCAG